GGAAGUUUGGCAAUCCAAUCCCUUUUGAUUCCUGUAAAACCAUGAUCUCUUCCAUCAAGAAUUCAUCCACUUUCUCAAAAUUCUUGGUAUGCAGCUCAUUAGAGUAUUGGUUAAGCAUUUCAACAAUUCUAGCUGCAGAGUGCAUUUCUUUCUCAUUAGGAUACUCAUCAAACUCCCCACUUAAUAGAAUUUUCUUCAGUGAAUCCUUUGAUGAACUCAGAAUGCGCAUAAAUGCCGUUAGAGCUUCAGCUACAGAAGUUAGGUGUUGAGGAAGCCUGUUGAGUUCAGCAAGAUUGGCAGCAAGUCUAUCAUUGAUCUUCCUCACAAUUUCAGGCAAGCAUUUUGAAAUGAUGCUUGCUUGAAUACGCACCAGCUUUUGUGCCAAAACAGGAACACUAACCAUCGAUUUAUCAAUCUUCGACAGAAGUGGAUGAGUUGAAAAAAGCCUUUCCUCAUCACUCCUUGCUUCUUCAUAAGACUCAUUCCCAAUUCUAUUCCUCACACAAACAUAGCCAAGCCCUAUAUUCACUUCAUCCGCGGUAACCUUUUCAAGCAGCCCUUCAGGGGCUUUAUCAGCUUUUGUCACAACAGCCAGAGUCCUUUCCCCUGUCUUGUCCACUUUCUGAGACAUUCUAAUAGACUCACAAGUAG
rnacentral:misc_RNA from 1 species